rnacentral:rRNA from 1 species
AGAGUUUGAUCCUGGCUCAGGACGAACGCUGGCGGCGUGCUUAACACAUGCAAGUCGAACGAGGAUUCAGAAGCUUGCUUUUGAAUCCGAGUGGCAAACGGGUGAGUAACGCGUAAACAACCUGCCUUCAGGAUGGGGACAACAGACGGAAACGACUGCUAAUACCGAAUACCUUCCGGAGACCGCAUGAUUUCCGGAAGAAAGGGUGGCCUCUACUUGUAAGCUAUCGCCUGAAGAGGGGUUUGCGUCUGAUUAGGCAGUUGGCGGGGUAACGGCCCACCAAACCGACGAUCAGUAGCCGGUCUGAGAGGAUGAACGGCCACACUGGAACUGAGACACGGUCCAGACUCCUACGGGAGGCAGCAGUGGGGAAUUUUGGACAAUGGGGGCAACCCUGAUCCAGCCAUGCCGCGUGCGGGAAGAAGGCCUUCGGGUUGUAAACCGCUUUUGUCAGGGACGAAAAGCUCCGGAGUAAUAUGCCGGAGUGCUGACGGUACCUGAAGAAUAAGCACCGGCUAACUACGUGCCAGCAGCCGCGGUAAUACGUAGGGUGCAAGCGUUAAUCGGAAUUACUGGGCGUAAAGCGUGCGCAGGCGGUUGGGUAAGACAGAUGUGAAAUCCCCGGGCUUAACCUGGGAACUGCAUUUGUGACUGUCCGACUGGAGUACGUCAGAGGGGGGUGGAAUUCCACGUGUAGCAGUGAAAUGCGUAGAUAUGUGGAAGAACACCGAUGGCGAAGGCAGCCCCCUGGGACGCAACUGACGCUCAUGCACGAAAGCGUGGGGAGCAAACAGGAUUAGAUACCCUGGUAGUCCACGCCCUAAACGAUGUCUGCUGGUUGUUGGGAAUUUAAUUCUCAGUAACGAAGCCAACGCGUGAAGCAGACCGCCUGGGGAGUACGGUCGCAAGAUUAAAACUCAAAGGAAUUGACGGGGACCCGCACAAGCGGUGGAGCAUGUGGUUUAAUU